UUCCCCCUCUCUCAGGUGGAUGUCAGCUGCCACCAUUUCACCGUGGUUGCCCUUUCUUCUGCCGUGAAAGUACAAGACAGAUGGAAAGAUUCCGUAGUGGUCUGCAAGUACAAGGUUUUCCCAGGAAGCAUCAGCAGCCUUGUAACUAGUGACAGUGAGUCCUGAGGUGGUUUUGGUGAGUUACUGCUUCAAUAAUGUAUUUUUAUUGGAUGUAUAUAAACAUGGGCACACCCUUUUAGUGUAAAGUGAAUUAUUGAGAUUUAUUCUUUAUUUUUCAUUUUGCUUUUUGAAGUUUUCCACUUCACUUUCAGCUUUAUUCACCAAACGAGCAAGAUGCAAAGCAGCAGCAGCAGCGCAAGGGCUGUAGCUGUUGCGGUGGAUCCGUAAGCGUAGAUUCUGAUUGCGUACGACCUCGUCCCGCAGCCUCCCAGGGUUAUCUCCCUGCAGCAGUGCUGUAAGGAAGGGAGGAGACGUUUUCCAACACCGGCGAGAGUGUUUACUUGUAUGCUAAGAAGGUGUUCAAAAUGGUAUCGAUUAGCCUGAAUGCUGAUUUUAAGCGUUCAAAUCGCUCUUAACUUUUAAAGGAGGUGGUGUAUUUCGAGCUGACCUGUUUACCUGGAAUCCUCCUUUAGCUCAGCGACUCUUCUUGUGCACCCCCAGCCUCCGCUGGCAGGGCGGUAUGAGAAGCUGGAAGGUCCUUGACUUAGUAUAAACACUGCUUAGCAACAACUAAA